UAGUAAAUUCUUGAUGUAUUUUGUUUUCCAUUCAGCAUUGAUUUCUUUCAGGGAUUGGCACUAUUGAUUUGUGCAUUGCAGGCCCUUUAUCUGAAUUGCCCAGAGCUUAACGACCUGAAUCUCAAUUCAUGUACAAACUUGCAUCCAGGUAGUUACUGAAUGUUCUACUUGUAGGUAGCUGACAUGGAGACUCAGUGUUAGACACUACAAACCUUGAGAAUCCAAAUGCAAACAUCUCUGUACGAGUUAUAUGUUAUUGUCAAAACUCAGAAGAUACAAUCAUCAUCUCCAUAGCCUUGUCCUAGCCAUUUGUUGCAUGCUGUGAGAUUAUACAUGCGUACAUAUAGAAAAAAAAUGUCUCUAGUUAAAUAGGAAUUUGCCUAGAACUACGUAGUUAGAAUGUGGAUGGUGCUUGUAAAUGAACAAGACCAUGAACUUAGAUUUUACCCUACCAGCUAUUUCAAUGUGUUUAGCACAGAUGUGCAGCUAAUGCUCGGGAUGGGUAUUGUUUGAAAAAAACAGAGUUCUUUAUACAUAGAUUGGAGGUGGGUGGGGGAAACAUUUAGUGUGUAAAAUUAUAAUUAGGUUCUUUUGAAGCAUAAUCCUUCUUUCAAAUUUGAGGCCUUGCUCUGUUCUGGUUCUUCAAGUUUGCAUUACUGCAUCACCUUCUUCUCCUUCUUCUUUUUAAAUUUUUUAUACACAUUUAAACCAAAUCUGAUGACUACAAAGAAAUUGUCUUAGUUCACAGAUUAUGUUACAUACUUAGAUUUCAUUUCGUUCACAUUUGCAACAGGCUCUUGCAAACACAUUGACUGUGGAUGAGCUUUUUUAUAUGAAAGAGCAAUUUGCACUAUUGGAGCCAAAUAAGAAUAUAUGGGUGCAUCUCACUAGAAAACAUAAGAAUGGCAUUGGUGAAAAAUGCAACAGAUGCUAUGAAGGAAUCUCGCAUUCAUGAUUUUCUUGCUUUGUUGAAUGCUCUUCAAUAUAGAAAGAUGGACUUUCACACCAGCAGCACUUUAUGGUCAGCUAACAAACACGUCUACACACAAAUGACAGAGAGAGGAUCCAUUCCAGUGUAAAGAAGAAUCAUCAAUGCCUGAUGAAAGGGCGUCGUUCUUUGAAGCGGACAUGGUCCUUGAUGUUGUCUCCUUCCAACUUGAGGCUGGCCCACCACACCAAAUCGUCUUCCACCUUUAGAGAACCCCCACCAACAGCGGUGGUAGAAGCAGCAGCAUUGUCACAAGGAACUUAAAGAGGAAGAUUAUUCAGCUUCGGACAUCCACUCACUCUCAGUUUCACCAAUGUUGGCAAGCACACCUCACCACAAAUACUCUCCAGCUUAGGUAGCUCCCACAAACAUACUGUACGUAGUCGUUGGAGUGAGCCUUUAGCUCCCCGUCGAAACAUUGCAUCCAGUCUAUUACAGAAUUUGAUAUGGAGAGUUUCCAGGCUUUCUAAGCAUACAGCUGAGGAGAAGAUGACCACGAGUCUCGGGCAACACUCCAGAUAUAUGUGCAAUUCCCAAAAAACACACAACCAAGGAAAAAUUCUCUCAAUGAAGCCAGCAGCAGCGGUAGCAGUAACAAUGACAGAAAUCCUGGAUGUACAG